UGGGGAAUUUUGGACAAUGGGCGCAAGCCUGAUCCAGCCAUGCCGCGUGAGUGAAGAAGGCCUUCGGGUUGUAAAGCUCUUUCGGCGGGGACGAAACGGUUCGUGACAACACCACGGACUAAUGACGGUACCCGCAUAAGAAGCACCGGCUAACUACGUGCCAGCAGCCGCGGUAAUACGUAGGGUGCAGGCGUUAAUCGGAAUUACUGGGCGUAAAGCGUGCGCAGGCGGUUUGUUAAGACAGGUGUGAAAUCCCCGGGCUUAACCUGGGAAUUGCGCUUGUAACUGGCAGGCUAGAGUGUGGCAGAGGGGGGUGGAAUUCCACGUGUAGCAGUGAAAUGCGUAGAUAUGUGGAGGAACACCGAUGGCGAAGGCAGCCCCCUGGGUUAACACUGACGCUCAUGCACGAAAGCGUGGGGAGCAAACAGGAUUAGAUACCCUUGUAGUCCCUGAGCGGGCUGGCAAGGCGCAU
rnacentral:rRNA from 1 species